UCAAAAAUGGAUAGGAUUUUUGUAAAAGCA
rnacentral:piRNA from 1 species